rnacentral:rRNA from 1 species
GAUGAACGCUGGCGGCGUGCCUAAUACAUGCAAGUCGAGCGAACAGACGAGGAGCUUGCUCCUCUGACGUUAGCGGCGGACGGGCGAGUAACACGUGGAUAACCUACCUAUAAUACUGGGAUAACUUCGGGAAACCGGAGCCAAUACCGGAUAAUAUAUUGAACCGCAUGGUUCAAUAGUUAAAGACGGUUUUCCUGUCACUUUUAGAUGGUUCCGCGCCGCAUUAGCUAGUUGGUAAGGUAACGGCUUACCAAGGCAACGAUGCGUAGCCGACCUGAGAGGGUGAUCGGCCACACUGGAACUGAGACACGGUCCAGACUCCUACGGGAGGCAGCAGUAGGGAAUCUUCCGCAAUGGGCGAAAGCCUGACGGAGCAACGCCGCGUGAGUGAUGAAGGUCUUCGGAUCGUAAAACUCUGUUAUUAGGGAAGAACAAAUGUGUAAGUAACUAUGCACGUCUUGACGGUACCUAAUCAGAAAGCCACGGCUAACUACGUG